rnacentral:misc_RNA from 1 species
GGAGAUUUAGAAAAAAGUAUGGGUAAUUCCCCCAUCGAAAUGAUGAAUAGAGAACGAGCAUCUAUACCAGACCUACAAGUUAAAUUCAUUACAAAUAUAGUCCUUCUACUUUUUACUAAUCUUUCUACAUUAUUUCCAAUGGUACAAUCACUUGUUGACAUGCUGAAAGAAAAUCGAGCUUCAUGGGAAGUGUCUAAAAGCACAUUCCAAAAAUUUUUUGAAAGCAGGAACAAAAGGUAUUGCUAUCCUAUUGGAUCCUACUUUUGAGAAAGAAGUAUUACAACUUUAUGCUCGAAGUAGUACAGGUUUCUCAAGAAAUUCUACUAUCAAAUUUGAAUUAAAUCGAACAACAAAUAAUAGUAGGUAUACAAUAAAAUAAAUACACGAUAUUUUUACCAUGAAUAUAAAAGUUUUUAAAAUAUAUAAAUCAUAAGAUUUUUUAAAUUCAAAAGCAAUAUAAAAGGCCUAUUAAUCACUAGAUAU